GUAGUACUCCCUCUGUUCGGAAUUACUUGUCACAAAAAUGGAUGUAUCUACAACUAAAAUACAUCUAGAUACAUUCAUUUCUUGGACGAGUAAUAACGAACGGAGGGAGUAUGUA
rfam:Triticum aestivum genome assembly, contig: Triticum_aestivum_CS42_TGACv1_scaffold_470985_6AL